GAUUUGGGGCAUUAUUAGCUUUACACAAUUUUAGGAAAGUGGGUUCAAAAUGUAAUGUAAUAGCUCUUAAUUGGUAAAUCCAUUUGUUAACAUGCUUUUAAAGUGUGUUUUUAAUGAGCAAAAAACCAGCCUGCCAUUUUGAGAAUUUUAUAGUUUGUAGUGUUGCCUUUUAGUUGGUUUUUUCUUUGAAUCCUUGUUCACCAUGUAAGUGGAAUCACUGUUUUUUGAAAUUUGCAUUUCCUCACUUAUCGUAGUUUUAGCCACAUCAUCAAGAAGGAAGUUUUGACCUAUUCUUAUAUGGGAAUUUUCUUUUUUUUUUUUUUUUGUCUUUUUGCCAUUUCUUGAGCCACUCCUGCGGCAUAUGGAGGUUCCCAGGCUAGGGGUCGAAUCCGGAGCUGUAGCUGCCAGCCUACACCAGAGCCAUAGCAACACAGGAUCCGAGCCGCGUCUGCGACCUACACCACAGCUCACGGCAACGCCGGAACCUUGACCCACUGAGCAAGGGCAGGGACCGAACCCGCAACCUCAUGGUUCCUAGUUGGAUUCGUUAACCACUGCGCCACAACGGGAACUCCCAAAGGAAUUUUAAAUGAUAAAUGAAAGAGCAAAUGAGUUGAAAUAAUUUAAUGAAGUGGGGUAGCUGCCACAAUCAAAAACAAAAAAAGACAAGUUAUUUUGUGUUUAGCAGCAUGAAAAUAAGUUUAGAUUGUUUUUCUAGUCAAACUAAAUUGUUAUCACUGUUCUGUCAUCACCCUCAUAAAACAUUUUUUAUUUCUUUUUUCACUUCCCUUGUCUAUUGACAUCUCUAAUGUUUUGUAUUACAGAAUUCUGUACUAGGAUUCAUCAGUUGGUGAAUGGCUUUAAAAGGCAUAUUUUUCAUGUUUAUCUUUACUUUGCACUGGUGAAUUAAUACGUUUCAUACCUAUACCAUAUCAUGGCUUACUUGCAUUUCUGCUGUUAUUAUAGCCUGAAGAACAACCUUCAUGUAAAUGAAAUAUAUUGACUAAUUAAUGGAAGUAGAAUUGACACUGGUCACUGUCUCUUUUGGUGAGACUUGCUUCCUUAACUUGCUUGGAGAAUAAAUUAUUUCACCUUUGUUUAUAGUUAUGCACCUUCUGAGGUGGUUUUGCACAUACAGACAUGUGCAUACAUAUGCUUGCUCAUAAUUUUUUUAGUGCUUAACAGUUUACCAAGGACUUAACUUGAAGUUUCUUAACUUUUGAGGAAAAGCAGUAGACUUGUGUUUUUACGUUUGACCCUUAACUCUUUGGAUAGUUCCUUUUCCAUUAUAAAGUACCCCAGAUCGCUAAAGAGGUGAGCUGUAAUGCAAAAGAUUGAAAAGAUGUUCUUUUGUAUCUUUCAAACCAGACUCUCCAUUUAGAAACACAAUCAGGAAUUCCUUGGUGGCUCAGCAGGUUAAGGACCUGGCAUCACUGUUGUGACUCUGGCUCUGGUUACUGCUGUGUGUGGUGCAGGUUGGAUCUCUGGCCCGGGAACUU
rnacentral:lncRNA from 1 species